rnacentral:lncRNA from 1 species
AGAGAGUGAGGAAGAUAAGAAGAAAAGUUUUUCUUCUCUUCAUGAUGAUCUGGUUCAGAUCCCGUUAGAUCUGGAUGACAGAGUUCGCGCAGUCUUCAUCCUUUUCGAGUUCUAAAAGAGGAUUCAGAUCCAAAGAUGAGGAGUGAGGCCUGCAAGGUGCUAGUAUACCAGUAGACUCUAUGCUCUGAUCAGGUAUCUUUGUGUGGAUACCAGUAGAGGUUGGAUGCUUGCAUGGCUAAAGAAAUCCCUUCAGAUCCACGAUCAUCGACUAGGUGU